UUUUUUUGCGCCAAUUUGGUUACCACAUUAGUUGCUCUCGGCAGAGUAAAAUGAUGUCUUACCAAAAAAUCCAUGUCUGUAAAGUACAUCUCAUAUAAAAAGAAUAAAUAUGCCUACCCAUGGUGUCCAAGCUUGACCGAUUGAAAUAAUAAGAGAUGCUGUAGUAACAAGUUUCGAAUGUAAACAUUAGACCUUAAUAUGGAACAACAGUACAAGAUGUCUAGCAGAUGGACUAUUUUUUUCUUAAAUAAAAUUAAAUAUUCAAGUUGUGUUUGUUUGACAUUGUAAGAGGCAUGUGUGGGUAACUUGUUAUUUAACUACUGUGUUAUGUCACAAACAUAUUUUGAGUGUGAACACAAUAGUUAUUAGCAAAGCAAAAUCAUGUCUAUUAGGAAAAGUGAAGGCAAAAUGUAUACCAACGACACUACAUACUACAUUUUUAUUACACAUAAAAUGGCAUUGAUGGAUAUAAUAAAGGGUAAUAAUUUCAGCUGUUAAAAAAGCUCAAUUCAACCAUUGUUUAACAUCCUAUUCUCCACAUGUACCACAUUAAAAGUUUACCUGGACACAAAUCCCACCUAUUUUCAACAUACACUGAUCACAGUUCAACAAAUAUUCGACCUGAUUUCAACAUACACUGACCACAGAACAACCAACAUUCGACCUGAUUUCAACAUACACUUAUAACACUUCAACCAACAUUCGACCUGAUUUCAACAUACACUGACCACAGAACAACCAACAUUCGACCAGAUUUCAACAAACAACAACCAAAAUUCAACCAGCAAUCGACUUGUUUUCAACAAACCUCGACCAAAUUUAGACCGAAAUUCAACCUAUUUUCAACGUUGAAAUCUGACGUUGAAACAACGUUAUGUUUUCAGCGUCAUAUCAAUUUUCAAUCCAACACUACUUUUCAACAUGGAUUCAACGUUGAAAUCUGACGUGUAUUCAAU